AGUGAACGCUGGCGGUAGGCCUAACACAUGCAAGUCGAACGGCAGCACAGUAAGAGCUUGCUCUUACGGGUGGCGAGUGGCGGACGGGUGAGGAAUACAUCGGAAUCUACUUUUUCGUGGGGGAUAACGUAGGGAAACUUACGCUAAUACCGCAUACGACCUACGGGUGAAAGCAGGAGAUCUUCGGACCUUGCGCGAUUGAAUGAGCCGAUGUCGGAUUAGCUAGUUGGCGGGGUAAAGGCCCACCAAGGCGACGAUCCGUAGCUGGUCUGAGGGGAUGAUCAGCCACACUGGAACUGAGACACGGUCCAGACUCCUACGGGAGGCAGCAGUGGGGAAUAUUGGACAAUGGGCGCAAGCCUGAUCCAGCCAUACCGCGUGGGUGAAGAAGGCCUUCGGGUUGUAAAGCCCUUUUGUUGGGAAAGAAAAGCAGCAGGUUAAUACCCCGCUGUUCUGACGGUACCCAAAGAAUAAGCACCGGCUAACUUCGUG
rnacentral:rRNA from 1 species